rnacentral:rRNA from 1 species
GACAGAGGGUGCAAACGUUGCUCGGAAUUACUGGGCGUAAAGGGCGCGUAGGCGGUGCUCUAAGUUAGAUGUGAAAACUCUGGGCUCAACCCAGAGCCUGCAUCUAAAACUGGAGUGCUAGAGUUCUGGAGGGGGUAGCGGAAUUCCUGGUGUAGCGGUGAAAUGCGUAGAUAUCAGGAGGAACACCGGUGGCGAAGGCGGCUAUCUGGACAGAGUCUGACGCUGAGGCGCGAAAGCUAGGGGAGCAAACAGG